UUGAAGAUGAUGUUGGAGUGGUUAACCACA
rnacentral:piRNA from 1 species